CUGUGUACCCCCGCCCCAACUGUUACCCUCGAGUCAACUGUUUCCAUCCCCAAUCUUUGCACUUCUGGGACCGGCAUAAGCCCCGUCUGUAUGAAUGCUGGACAGCGAGUCGUCCGGACAUAAAUCCUUCAAAGCAAUGCAAACAGUGGGGUUGAUGAAUGCAGUUUUUCCACCUCAGAGACAGCCUUUGGUUUCAGUUCAUUUCCAAGUGCUGCGACAAUCAACAUCAAGAGACCUGCCCGAGAAAGAGCGUCACUGUAUCUGCAGAUACAUUUGACAAGUUAAUACAUUUUGUUGUGAGGCAGAAAUCCCAGAUCUGUCUUGGAGUGGAAAUUGACUGCGCUACAGAUAUGAAGCAGCCGAGAGCCUUCUGCUGUUUUACAUAGAGAACCAAGGCUUUGAUGUCCCCCAAUGAAUUGUGCAGUAAUAACUCUCUCAUCAGAAGAGAUAAGAUCCGCACAUCGCAGAGACAACCCAACAAAAACACAGGCCUGUGUUGAGUGUGUACUGUAUAAUGGGUGUGACACUCUACCUUAGUCCAGCUCUGAGGUCACUGCCGCGGUUUCCUACGAGUACUGUGCGCGUACCUGUGUGGCGGAGGAGUAGCGGGCCGUGGAUCGAGACGUGGCCGCCUUGGCCGAACUGUGGGAGCCCUCCGAGGGCAGCGCGCCGCAGCACUGGGACUGACGGAAACAUUUGCUGUACUCUUUGCGGACCUGCAGGGGAAAAGGAGAUCAGGAAAGACUGAGCACACACACACACACACACACACAGCGACCCUCUCUAACCCACGAGAGACACAAAUCUCUAUCAAAUGCCAGCUGACAGCAGCUUAAAUGCCAUAUCACUGAGGACAGGGAUAAAAAAAACAAUA